CUGGCCGUUUCACUGGGUUCUACCCGAGAGCCAUGAACGUUGUCCAGCCUCAGUGACCCACAAAUCACCAGCGUCCCACGUGCUGGUCAGCAGCUCACGGCCCCUCCGCCUCACUCCAUCU